CCCCCUCAUUUCAUCUCUCAACUUCUGAGAGUCCAAACCCUAGCCGCCCUCUCACACCUUCACCGGCUCCGUCCAUCGCCGUCGCCAAAAAUCGCUCUACGGCGGCGGCACCACUCCAAACCUCCCCAAAUUUUCACCAGUCAGUCCCCUUCCUCUUCCCUUUCCAAAUCCAUAAACCAAUUCCUUCAAAUCCCCACCAAUCUCCUCCGAUUUCAGAUCUAAAGCACCAACCUCAAAAACCCUAACUUACUCAAACCGCCUCAAACUCAUAUCCUAUAAUCACCAGGCCUCCCCAAACCCAAAACCCUUAACAAUUUUCCCAAACAAUCUUUAAAACUUGUCGAAUUCCGGAUUUAGGUUCAACCUAAUAUCUGAUUUUGGGAUUUCUUUGAAGCUUUGUUCGUCUUGGUUGGAAGCUUGCCCGAAUAGGUUAUUCUUGUCCAGAAUAAUCGUUUAGGUCAGUUUCAAGCCUCGUCGAAGUAUUCUGAGCCUGGCCAGCCUUCCGCUUUUGCUUUUGUUGAUCGUCUGGUUGAUUUAAAUCGGUACUCCCUGGCCUUUGUCAUUUAUUCACCUCUGUUCUUUUCUGUUUUGUUUCCUCUGAUCUCUUCCUCUCAAUUCUGUUUAGUUGCAUGGUAGCUUUUGUGUGUCCUCUGUUUUGUUUUCAUAUUAGGGCUUCAGAUUAGGAUUUCGUCACAGGUCUAAGGUCAAUUUAGUCGAUGUAUGAAAUAAGUCAAUUUUCAAUAAUAAUUUCUAAUUUUUAGUUUAUGAUAGAAGAAUUUAGGUGUAGUUUAAGGUUCAAAUUGCAUUGUUGUUGGUUAUUUGAGCACAUUUAGUUGUUAAUUCUGUUUUAGAAUGCAUCAAUUUAUCCAUUCUGGUUGCUAGAAACAUUCCAGUAUUUGUGCAAAAUCCAUUUGGGGUUCUUUGUCCAGCUUAGUUCAUUAUGAAUUGAUUUCGUGUUAGAAGUUUAGGUUCAUUCACUAGUUUCAGAUACUCUUUUCAACUUUGAACUUUGGUUUUCUUUCAAUCCGUUUGUAGAUAUUAGUUUGCUUGUUUUCUGUUUGUUUAGUUAGUAAUUGUUAGGAACUCUUAGGGCAUUAAUUGAACAAUUGAAAACUUGGAGGUUUAAUUUGAGAUUAGGAGACUAGAUUUUCUUUUAGUAAGCUUCUAGAAUCUGGGGCAGCUGGCCCAAUUCUGGCCAGCACAAGUGCUGGAGCCAAUUAAAGGCUACCAGUUGUCCCAAUUCUGUUAGAAAAGAUGCCUUGUGAGGGAAUAAUUCCCAUUCUGUUUUCAGCAGCACAUGGCACCCAAAAAGGGCUAUAUAUAUAGACCUUUCUGUCACUCUAAAGGCAGAUUUUCAGACCCUAAAAAACACUCAAAGUUUCUGCAUCAUUUUGGCUGAAAAAUUGGUUGGAAUUGCUCUUUGGUUUUCACAGUUAGAAGAACUUAAAAGUUUCAAAGGACCUCUGGUUUGCUGGGUAUCUCUUGGACUUUAAAUGACAUGUGAAUUGCAAGCUUGAAAUGUAUAAUCAAAUGUGGAGAUUGAAUGAUAUAUUGCAGCCGGAUGAAAGUUGUUCAGAUGUUUUCUGUUAAAUUCAUUUAGUUCUUGUAGUAGUGUUAGCCUUAUUUUAUCGUUUAUUUUCACUUCUUUUCUUUUCACUGUUUUCUUUAUCUAUAUUCUGUCCUUAGAUCUAUUUUAGGAUCUCAGAUCUAGUAUGAUGAUUUGUGAUGUGGCUAAGGAUCUUCAUGCUUGUGUAGUAGUUUAGUUUUUUUUUUUUUGUGAUGUUGAAAAGCCAUGGUGAUGAGUGUUAUUCCUUGUGUCCAGUUUUCAUCUUUUCAUUUAAAUGGUUUAAAAAUGCUAAGUCAAGGUCUGUUAUUAGCUUAGAAUCAUGUCUUUCAUGAAAAGGGUUGUAUGGCUAGUGUUAUGUGAUUAGUUAGGAAUUUCAGUUAAUGUUGUAUUGAUACUGCCUAUUAGUUAGUAUUUGUAAUAUGUAGUUGAGCA